rnacentral:rRNA from 1 species
GACGAACGCUGGCGGCGUGCCUAAUACAUGCAAGUCGAGCGCGUGUAGCAAUACACGAGCGGCGGACGGGUGAGUAACGCGUGGGUAACCUGCCCUCUAGCCUGGGAUAACAGCGCGAAAGUGCUGCUAACACCGGAUAUGCUCACAAGGAGGCAUCUCCUGGUGAGGAAAGUUUACACUAGAGGAUGGGCCCGCGUCCCAUUAGCUAGUUGGUGAGGUAACGGCCCACCAAGGCGACGAUGGGUAGCCGACCUGAGAGGGUGAUCGGCCACACUGGGACUGAGACACGGCCCAGACUCCUACGGGAGGCAGCAGUAGGGAAUUUUCCGCAAUGGGCGAAAGCCUGACGGAGCAACGCCGCGUGAGGGAUGAAGGUCUUCGGAUCGUAAACCUCUGUCUUCAGGGACGAUAAUGACGGUACCUGAGGAGGAAGCCACGGCUAACUACGUGCCAGCAGCCGCGGUAAUACGUAGGUGGCGAGCGUUGUCCGGAAUUACUGGGCGUAAAGGGCGUGUAGGCGGCCUUUUAAGUCAGAUGUGAAAUCUCAGGGCUUAACCCUGAAACUGCAUUUGAAACUGGAGGGCUUGAGGAUCGGAGAGGGCAGUGGAAUUCCCAGUGUAGCGGUGAAAUGCGUAGAUAUUGGGAGGAACACCAGUGGCGAAGGCGACUGCCUGGACGACACCUGACGCUGAGGCGCGAAAGCUAGGGGAGCAAACGGGAUUAGAUACCCCGGUAGUCCUAGCCGUAAACGAUGGGUACUAGGUGUGGGAGGUAUCGACCCCUUCCGUGCCGCAGUUAACACAAUAAGUACCCCGCCUGGGGAGUACGGCCGCAAGGUUG